rnacentral:tRNA from 1 species
GGAGAGGUGGCUGAGUGGUUGAAGGCGCUGAUCUUGAAAAUCAGUUAGGGCAAACUCCCUACGUGGGUUCGAAUCCCACUCUCUCCG